GAUGAACGCUGGCGGCGUGCCUAAUACAUGCAAGUCGAGCGAACGGACGAGAAGCUUGCUUCUCUGAUGUUAGCGGCGGACGGGUGAGUAACACGUGGAUAACCUACCUAUAAGACUGGGAUAACUUCGGGAAACCGUAUCUAAUACCGGAUAAUAUUUUGAACCGCAUGGUUCAAAAGUGAAAGACGGUCUUGCUGUCACUUAUCGAUGGAUCCGCGCUGCAUUAGCUAGUUGGUAAGGUAACGGCUUACCAAGGCAACGAUGCAUAGCCGACCUGAGAGGGGGAUCGGCCACACUGGAACGGAGACACGGUCCAGACUCCUACGGGAGGCAGCAGUAGGGAAUCUGCCGCAAUGGGCGAAAGCCUGACGGAGCAACGCCGCGUGAGUGGUGAAGGUCUUCGGAUCGUAAAACUCUGUUAUUAGGGAAGAACAUAUGUGUAAGUAACUGUGCACAUCUUGACGGUACCUAAUCAGAAAGCCACGGCUAACUACGUG
rnacentral:rRNA from 1 species